UGGUAAGAGAGUAUAAUAUGUCUGGUGCAUGUUUUGAUUAUGGUUUUAAUAUAAGUAAAUGGAAGAUUUUGUUUACUGAUCUAUAAACAACAGAUGCUGUUUGGGAGAUACAAUCAACAGAAGACACCAUUAAGGGAAUCUGUGAUGUUCAGAAAACUGCAGAAGUCUGUUUGGUGAUAGAAAAAAUCCCGGAUUAUGUUGAACCUGAGAAAACAAAGGAUGAUGGUGAUAUUCAAGCAUCUACAGAAGUGGGUCCCCUGAAAUCCAAAAGAAUAAGAAGAGUUUGGGGAAGGAAUAAUGUAUGAAGUUGUAAUGUAACAACGAUCCAUUUUGAAGUGGAGCAGGAG